rnacentral:ncRNA from 2 species
GGAGGAGCCUCUGGAGAGAACCGUUAAAUCGGUCGCCGAAGGAGCAAGCCUAUUCGUAGGUGAAACUCUCAGGCACAAAGGACAGAGGAGUGGAA